GGAAAACACUGUUCAACCAGUUGGCAGACGCCUCAAAAGGUUACAGAUAUCACCGGUUCAUUUUUUAUCGCUCCCUGUCGUCUUUUUUGUCUGUUCUUUAGGAGGUUUGGAGAUCAGUGCUCAACUUGUAAGACACAAUGAGUGAAAAAGCCAAAGGGGUUGCUUUGGAGUGGAGUGUCAGUCGAGCAGCAACACACAGGAGACAACUUAACCUCUGACCUCAACACUCUUUGAAAUGGAUAGACUACUUGACCGGAGCUGACAACAAUCCGCGCGUCUCUGCAGCUUCCAAGAGCGCAAAUUGAAAGUGAAGAAUGGAGCACAAAGAGGACAGGAGAGACUGGGCUUUAUCUCUGAAAUACCUCCUUAUCAAGCCUCCUGAAGAGUGGGUGGAUGACUCACAGCAUGCAUUUCCUAAAGUG